UACGUAGGGUGCAAGCGUUGUCCGGAAUUAUUGGGCGUAAAGAGCUUGUAGGCGGUUUGUCGCGUCUGCUGUGAAAACUCGAGGCUCAACCUCGAGACGUCGGCGGAAACCAUCUGGCUAGAGUCCGGAAGAGGAGAGUGGAAUUCCUGGUGUAGCGGUGAAAUGCGCAGAUAUCAGGAAGAACACCCGUGGCGAAGGCGGCUCUCUGGGACGGUACUGACGCUGAGACGCGAAAGCGUGGGGAGCGAACAGG
rnacentral:rRNA from 1 species